UACGAAGGGGGCUAGCGUUGCUCGGAAUUACUGGGCGUAAAGGGCGCGUAGGCGGACAGUUUAGUCAGAGGUGAAAGCCCAGGGCUCAACCUUGGAAUUGCCUUUGAUACUGGCUGUCUUGAGUUCGGGAGAGGUGAGUGGAAUGCCGAGUGUAGAGGUGAAAUUCGUAGAUAUUCGGCGGAACACCGGUGGCGAAGGCGGGUCUCUGGGCCGUAACUGACGCUGAGGAGCGAAAGCGUGGGGAUCAAACAGG
rnacentral:rRNA from 1 species